CCUACUUCACUUUCCAUCCUUCAAUUUUCAUUAAAUCCUGUCAAAACAAUGUAAAACCAAGCAUAAUAUAUCUAAAACCAGCUUUGACUCUCUUGUGACCUAACUUAAGUGUUUUGCAUGAUUUUAAGCUUAUUCUAAGUCAUAAAGGGUGUGUUUUGAUAUCAAUUUCACAUAGAAAAAUAACAGUGUUUAGACCGUUAUCAGAAGCCUAGAGUCAUGGAAUACUUAGGAGCCUUUCCAUCAUUUAGUGAGGACCCUCAUCAUUAAAUGAAGAGCCUAAGCAUUAAAUAAAGAGCCUAAGCAUUAAAUGAGGAGCCUAAACAUUAAAUGUGAGGAGCCUUAUGCUUUGUAACUAACUUAGUCAAAGCAUUUAAUGCAAAGGCUCCUUGCUACUAACUCCUCUCAAAACCCAUUUUUAACUCUUAAAGGCACCAAACCUUCUAAAAAAAUCUAAACAAAAUGUCUUGGCCAAAUACAAGGCCUAAAAAAAACGAGCUAUAUUAUAUUACCAAAUGUGUUUUAAGAUAAAGAAGAAGACCAAAAUGUGAUUCUCCACAAGAGUAGAAUCCUUCAAGCUCCAUCUUCUUCAUGGCUCUUUAUGAGAGGUCCAAUGUCUUUUAAAGCUUAAGGGAAAGCAAGAAUAAGCUUGAAAGUCCUUCUUCUUCUUCCAAUCUGCUAGCCUUAGCUGAAGUUGAUGCUCCCUUCAUGGAUCCCCAUUUAGUUCCUAAAACAGAUUCCAUCAUCUCUUCAUCUAUAAAAAAGAGGUUCUUCCCUUUGUAAUUUCUAACUUUGAAUUGAUAACAUUCACAAUAUAAAAUGUUAAACUGUCAGAGUUAUACAACUGAAACUAGAGGAGCUCACUCCCCGAAUCCUAAAAGUUUUCGAAAACCAGGCUCUGAUACAAAAAUGGAACACCCAGAUUUUUUAGAUGUCACAUUGCAAAAAUUCACAAAGUUUUUUGAUACACAAUUCUUUAAGACGAUUAAACUUUAUUUGAUUAAAACGCGGACGCAAAACAUAAUUAUAAAUGAUGUCUGAAAUUGUAGAAUAUCGUUUUUACAUAAAAUACCAAGUCUAAAAAGUUUUAAACAUAAGUAGUCAACCCCGAUAUAAAGAUCCCAACUCUCGCCAGCUACUUCGAUCCAACCUUUAUUUGCAACGCCAUCUACUCCUAUACAGGUACAAUCAUCGUAGGUGGAAACCACAACCACAACAUGCAAGGGUGAACAACCAGAUAUAUAAUAGCAUAUAAAAUGUCAUAUUGAUAUUAUACAACAUAUUCCAUCACAACAUUUCCAUUACAGCCAAUUCAUUUGAUCCUAAACGAUCAUCUCUACCAACAAGCUAACACAUCACAUUUCUAUACACAUCCUUAUUUUCAUGCGUUAUACAACACUCACCAAACUUGAACACAAAUCUAAAAUAUUUUCAAUAACCUCGAUUAACCCAAUUUCUUACCAAGAAACAAUGUCAUCAUUAAUACUUACUAAAUUGACCACAUCAAAAUAGUGAACUACCAUUCACUAGUACCGACCAUAAAUGACCACAAGCUACAAUUUCCAUCUUCUUUGAUUCAUAAAAUCAUUGUAUAAUCAAACCAAACUAAUUAGGGCUGUUUCAAAAUAAUUAACGUCAAAACAUGGAAAAGAUAAUAAAAUACAUAAUAGUAAUCUUCCAAUCAUACUUCACUAAACUAUGGGCCUACUAAAAAGUGCAUGAUACUUUUUUCUUAUAUUCUUGAAGACAAACCCAAAAGAGAAAUUCAUUUCUCUAUACUACAAUAACUAAUUCAUAAACUCUUCUCUUUUCUCUCAAAAUGGGCCUCAUAACUAUUAAAGUUCUUUUCCUCUCACAUCCAUGUGGACCUCAUGCGGGUCCACCCACUUUUCCACUUUACACUCAUUUUCUCUCUCUAUUUGUCUCCCUUUAACGUAACCACUCAUAACACCACUCUCUUUUUCCUUCAAUUAUCCAUUCCAACCUAAACUCCACACCAUUUCUACUUCUCUCACCAAUUUCUUUGUUUUUUCUUAUGAAACCAAUCUCUCUCUCUCUUCUACAUUCACGUAAACACUCACCAUGCACCCACCUAUAUCUCCUUCCUUCUCCUUUUAUUUAAUUAAUCUUUUAUUCAAUCCAAAACAAAACAAAAACAUUUAAGUCUUCUUCUCUCUCCCAGUUUUACGUUACCUACCAUACACUUUCUUCCUCACUUUUCUUUUUCACUCAUACCCAUUAAAAAAACUAUUUCAUUUUCCUAUUUAAUUAUUUUAAACUAAACUCAAGAACUUCAUAUACCAUUUUCGUACCCCUUUUCCUUUUCCUAGGAGCCAUGCCCAAAAUGUCUUCCUCCCUUCUCUCUCUUCUCUCCCUUUCUUGUUCCAUUUUCACAGAACCCCUUGCUCCCUACUACAUCUCAUGAUCCCCAUAAAACACUACCCCUUCCAUUCCAAAAUUAAAAUCCCACUCAUGUGCCCUACGUUGUCUACUUCUAUCAUAAAAAAUAUCGUGACUCCCUUCCUUUCUGCCUUAACUAAUAUGUAACAAAACCUUCUUCACUGUAAAUACAGAACCCAACCCCAGGAUACUCUCAGCCGACUUCUUUCCUUCUUCAAAUACCUAACACCUACUACCAUUCCCAAAACUCUCUUAACAACCUACUUUUCUCUUGUCUAUAAACCACACCCAUCCUCUUACCUAACCUUUUUAGAACCAACAAUUUCCUAUCAAUUUAAUAUAGAUGAAAAGAACCUUGCAAACCCCUCCCCCUUGCUCACCUUGCAGAUUUCCACUACAAACAAACCACACACAUCUCUAAAAACAUAAUACUCCGCUUCUUAGAACCAAUUAGGAAAACAAUAGUGGAUAUUCAUACAAAAUUCUACGCGAAGAGAAAUACUUCCAACCCAAACUACAAGUAUACCCUCAGGUCUUUAAUAUACAAAACCUUAUGACUUGCCCGCAUGUACCCAUGGCCAUACCCUUUGUAACUAAACUCAGGCCAUGUACAAAGUAUUUCAAAAUAUAACAACCAGCACAAAACACGAAAGUAUAUAAUCAUUAUACACCAAAAAAAUUCUAGACAACAAAAGUAGACUCAUAUAACAACACAAAACCAACACCAACAAUGGAACUCAAAAUCCAAAAGUCAUUGUACACAAAACAAGUUUGGUUUCUCCCCUUACAACACAUAUAUUUAUAUCACACCCGUAUUACUCUCCUUAUUACCCAACCAUUAUGUUAUAACACCCCAACAACUUACAGGGAAUAUUGAUUGCCCUCACACAUCAACAUGAGGCUUUCCAAUGUGCUUUGUCCUCACUCGCACAAUUUGCAGGAAAACAUCCCCAAAGGUUUCCCAUCCCUAAAUUACUCCGAGCUAAGCAUGCUUAACCAUGAAGUUCUUAUUGGUUAUACAAUCUCUAGGUCCCUCUCAUUCUAGUGUAUGUUUGAUUCUUCCAUGUACCCGUCCCACUGGAAGCCUGCCGGGAGUUGCUCUUUGUUUGUGCCUUUUGCAUCGGCAAUCACUCCCCGUCCUCGUCAGUGCAGUGCCCGAGUGUCACAGUUGGCCUAAUUUCAUGUUUGUGCUUGUUGUACCUGUACUUUCAUUGUUCCUUAGUGUUUAGUGAUCAUUUUAAUCAUUGAAAAUCAUUAGUUUCAUUUCAUUCCAGCUUUCAUUUUCAAAUU
rnacentral:lncRNA from 1 species